rnacentral:rRNA from 1 species
UACGUAGGUGGCAAGCGUUGUCCGGAUUUACUGGGCGUAAAGAGCGCGCAGGCGGUCGUUCAAGUCGCGUGUGAAAGCCCCCGGCUCAACUGGGGAGGGUCACGCGAUACUGAUCGACUCGAAGGCAGGAGAGGGUAGUGGAAUUCCCGGUGUAGUGGUGAAAUGCGUAGAUAUCGGGAGGAGCACCAGUGGCGAAGGCGACUACCUGGCCUGUUUCUUGACGCUGAGGCGCGAAAGCUAGGGGAGCAAACAGG